rnacentral:rRNA from 1 species
CAAGUCGCACGAGAAAGGGGAGCAAUCCCUGAGUACAGUGGCGUACGGGUGAGUAACACGUGGAUGAUCUACCUUCUAGUGGGGAAUAACCCUGGGAAACCGGGGCUAAUACCGCAUAAGCUCGAGAGAGGAAAGCAGCAAUGCGCUGGAAAAGGAGUCCGCGGCCGAUUAGCUAGUUGGCAGGGUAAGAGCCUACCAAGGCAAAGAUCGGUAGCCGGCCUGAGAGGGCACACGGCCACACUGGCACUGAAACACGGGCCAGACUCCUACGGGAGGCAGCAGUGGGGAAUCUUGCACAAUGGGGGAAACCCUGAUGCAGCGACGCCGCGUGAGCGAUGAAGCCCUUCGGGGUGUAAAGCUCUUUCGGCAGGGAAGAUAAUGACGGUACCUGCAGAAGCAGCUGCGGCUAACUACGUGCCAGCAGCCGCGGUAAUACGUAGGCAGCGAGCGUUGUUCGGAGUUACUGGGCGUAAAGGGUGUGUAGGCGGUUGUUUAAGUUUGGUGUGAAAUCUCCCGGCUCAACUGGGAGGGUGCGCCGAAUACUGAAUGACUUGGAGUGCGGGAGAGGAGAGUGGAAUUCCUGGUGUAGCGGUGAAAUGCGUAGAUAUCAGGAGGAACACCGGUGGUGUAGACGGCUCUCUGGACCGUAACUGACGCUGAGACACGAAAGCGUGGGUAGCAAACAGGAUUAGAUACCCUGGUAGUCCACGCCCUAAACGAUGCAUAUUUGGUGUGGGCAGUUCAUUCUGUCCGUGCCGGAGCUAACGCGUUAAAUAUGCCGCCUGGGGAGUACAGUCGCAAGGCUGAAACUCAAAGGAAUUGACGGGGGCCC